GACGAACGCUGGCGGCGUGCCUAAUACAUGCAAGUAGAACGCUGAAGGGAGAGCUUGCUCUUCUGGAUGAGUUGCGAACGGGUGAGUAACGCGUAGGUAACCUGCCUGGUAGCGGGGGAUAACUAUUGGAAACGAUAGCUAAUACCGCAUAACAUUGACUAUUGCAUGAUAGUUAAUUGAAAGGUGCAAAUGCACCACUACCAGAUGGACCUGCGUUGUAUUAGCUAGUUGGUGGGGUAACGGCUCACCAAGGCGACGAUACAUAGCCGACCUGAGAGGGUGAUCGGCCACACUGGGACUGAGACACGGCCCAGACUCCUACGGGAGGCAGCAGUAGGGAAUCUUCGGCAAAUGGGACGGAAAGUCUGACCCGAGCAACCGCCCGCCGUGAAGUAAAGAAA
rnacentral:rRNA from 1 species